CCGGAAAUUUCGGCCGGUAUUUUGCAAUGCUGGGUUAUUUUGUAAUAACAUCCAAAUUAAGUCCUAAAACUGUAUUUUCCUAUCAAUUCGGAGUAUCGACCGUGUCUAACCCUAAAACCCAAAUCACGCAGACAUCGAUCAGUGAAUCACACACUCGCCAUUCAAGUUCUUCCCUUUUCACCUCAUCCCCAGCUUGUCGCCGUCGAACCUUCCACGGCGGAGUCGGUGCAGCGCAGCUAGUCCCCGCCGCCCGCCGGGAUCUGAGCCACCCUCAACCGCAAGAUUUACUUGAUUGUUUUAUGCGAGUUACUCCAUAUCCUCAUAUCCACCCUUUAGGUUUAUCAGCAGUGAAGGUUAGGUUGAUGGCGAUAUCAAGAUCAGAAGAGAUGGCCAAACUGGUCAGCCAAAUUGCUCAACUUGGAGUAAUUAGAUUUCGGAGCUGGAGUCGCGGUUAUCAGACCUUGGCGCAAAUAGUGCCCAAACAAUACGAUGAAACUGCAGUGGGUGAAAACCUUGUUAACAUGCUUAGAAUUCAGACUCGAAAUUACAGUAUGACAGUGCAUGCUCGUAACAAGCAAAAAGAUCGUUCCACAGCUGUAUCAAUAGAGGAUCAAAAUAAAGCGGUAUCCCAGUUUGCAGGAAAGAAUCCUGUAGGAGUUCGCAAUCACGAAAUUGGAGAGAAUGUGUCCAGAAAGGACAAGAUCAGCUUUCUUGUUGAUACACUUGUCAAUCUGAAGGAUAGUAAAGAGGCCAUUUAUAGUGCACUUGAUGCAUGGGUUGCAUGGGAGCAGAACUUCCCUAUUGCGUCCCUCAAGAGGGUAUUGGCAAUUCUUGAGAAUGACCAACAAUGGCAUAGAAUUGUUCAGGUUAUAAAAUGGAUGCUAAGCAAGGGACAGGGCAACACAAUGGGAACAUACGGACAACUUAUUCGAGCAUUAGAUAUGGACCACCGGGCACAAGAAGCACACGAGGUUUGGGUGAAGAAAAUCGGUUGCGACUUACAUUCGGUAUCUUGGCAGUUAUGUAAUCGCAUGAUAUCUAUUUACUAUCGGAACAACAUGAUGGAGAAUGUUGUAAAGCUUUUCAAGGGCCUGGAGGAUUUUGAUCGUUUACCCCCAGAGAAAUCAAUAGUGCAGAAAGUUGCUAAUGCUUAUGAGAUUUUAGGCCUACUUGAAGAGCGGGAUCGGGUAUUGGAGAAGUACAAGAGUCUAUUUUCUGUGGCAGGACGACACAAGAAACCUAGAAUUCUUUCCAAGAAAAAGAAAAGAUAGGGUUGGACAAAAUAUGCGUCGAUUGCAGAUGCCCUGCACAAUGCUGUGGAGGGUAUAUUGACAAGUUGAAGGUGUUUAUAAGUACUUUGCUGCAAUGGUGUUUUCAUGCGUGGACAUACAUACUAAAGGUAAGAAGGCUAUUACUUCUUAUAUUCUUGUGACUUGGUACGUGUGUCUGGUGCGAUAUAUGUCUAAGCGUCAGAUUUGUCUCAUUUCUAUUUCAACGACAUGGUCAGACACCAAAAUAGUCAAUCUGCAGCAUAUUUCUUUUCUAAGCGUCAGAUUCGUCUCAUUUCUAUUUCAACGACAUGGUCAGACACCAAAAUAGUCAAUCUGCAGCAUAUUUCUUUUCGUUUAUUGAUAAACGAUGUUUAAAACUUAAAAGGUAUCUAAGGGCAUUUCAUGCAUAUCAUAGGAGUGUUAUAGUCAUUUUAAACUCGAAUUAUAUUUCAUUUGCUUGGUUAAAUGUCCGCUAAACAUGUUGGAUAUGGAUCCCUUGUUCAAGUGUUGAAUGUCCGACAUGGGUGCCGUGCACAUUUUCAAAGAUAUAUGUAAGUAAUGUAACCUAAGUAAUGGGGGAUAUUAUGCACAAGGGCCAUUGAAUAUGGGCUUUCAGAUUGGCUUGAUUAAGCAAUGGGUUCAUUAUUUGUGGGGCGACCAAAGCUGUCAAUUACAUUGAUUGACAGUGCUAAUAUGCAGAAGCUAUACCUAACCUCCCUUAUGUUAACUGUUAAACUGGCCAAUUUUGUUACACUUAUGACUUAGCUAGCCUUAGCUGAUGCUUGUUUCUCUCGUCCACAUUCAUGGGAGUCACGUCCCAUCAAGCUGAAUCUCUAUGUGGAUGUGUGUGGCGGGAAGGGUACCUGAGGUUGCCUUUGGGUAUAUGGUGGUCACUACAAGAGUGCUCGGGAACACCAGAGGUGGAGCAGGAGAGAGCUCGAGGCAGCCGUAGAGAGAGAGGCUGGCAGUGGAGAGAUUGGUCAACCAGGGAGUUAGAACUCCGUAUUUGUAGGUAUGUAUUGUAUCGGAUGUCGUGUGUCUAUCUGUUUGGUGGUGUAUCAACCAUCCUUAUAUGGAGGCCUCAGAGAUGGGCAGUUCAGAGGGAUGGGCUUGCCAGGGGAUGGAGAGGCAGUUGAUGAGCUGCUGGUGUCAGGGGUGGUUGAUGUAAGUGUGGUUGUGAUUGUGGUUGUGGUUGUAAUGUCGGUGGUUGUAGUUAUGAUGAAGGUGGUUGAGGUAGACGCCGGCUGACGUAUGCGAUGCCCCUCUCUCUAUGGUUGGUCAAGGUGGAGCUCGCCUCCUUGACAAUCCCCUUGGUCUACAUGAGGCGAGCCUUGACAAUCCCCUUGCUUUAGCUUCCAAGCCACAUAUGUCUUUAGGUCCCAAGCGGGGUACCCCAGGCCUUGCCCUCAACAGCUUUUGACUUGGGGUAUGAGGAGUCAUGAUACCAGAGGAGCUCGCUUGCCUUACCCGCGGGGUAUUGGGUCCGCUGGUAAGUGCUACGUGGCGAGGCUCUUUCGGAUACCCACUCUCUAUAACCACUACACGAAAGGGACAUGAGAUAUUGAUAACGUCAUUGGCCGCCGUUAGCCUCCAUUGGUUAAUUUUAUCGCUGUUAUGCAUAUUAUUGUGAAGUGGAAUCCAAUUUUGUUUAUAAACAACCCCAAGACAACAUUGGUUACGAAUUAGAAACUCUACCUAUCUGAGGAACCUCACGACGAUAGCUAUUAUAUUUUGGAACAUUGGAUGUCAUGGAUGAUCACCUGUGAAUGCCUAUAUGAUAUCAAUACCACUUUAACUAUCAACAAGCUCUCUUAGCUUGAUCUCAAAAGUUGGAUCGCACUUUGAGAAGCAAAAGUAUUUUGUCAAUCUUUUUCUCAACUCUAGCUAGAGGCUGCUAGGAUUUGUGUCAAAUAUAAUGAUAGAAAACAGGUAUCAAAUUCUUCUUCUAAGUCUUCAACAUCAAGAGGCCCAUAAUCCAAUAUCUUCCGCCUAAUAUGCUGAAGUUUUGGAUUCACUGGUAUAGAAUGUUUCCUUUUCCGAUGUAGGAUGAGUGAGAAGAGCACUACGCUGGCCAAAUUGAUUUAGGGAGGCAUUGUGGGGGGCUCUUUUAAGGACGCUUGUAGAUCAACACAGAUGCCAAAUAUUUUUAGGUUCUUGCUGCUUCAGAGGUGUAAGUUGAAAUGCUUGUCCUUAAGGUUUAGCUAGGCAUAGAGUAAUGAUGGGGCUAUUAUCGAGCUAUGAAGGGUGUGAUCAAAUGAUUCUUAUUUGCGUGCUAUGGAUGUGUAUCCCAUAGAUAAAUUGAUUCGUGAUGCUUGAUACUCAGUUAAAAUAAGUGGUGCUGAGGGGUUGGUGUUUUAUAACAUAUAUUCAGGUAUUCAUGGAAGUAACUUUUUUUGGUAUAUUUACUUCUUAUUAAGCAAACAAACCACAAUCAAUCGGGGACUAACCCAUUACAGUCGGGAAUCAAACCAGGAACAAACCUGGUAACUAAGCGAAACAGGGCAACUGCAAGAAGCAAAAAUGGAAUUAGCUUUGCUUAUAUUUUUGCUUAGUGAACGAUUCUAUUGUCGCCUAUAGGGAUGGAAAUUUACUCUGAUCUGUCCUUGCCUCUGACAUGUCUGCUCUGAUCCGAGCGGGUAAUCCCCGAUCUGAUAAGAAAAUGGAGUGAGGAUGGUUUUUGCUAACCCCGCCCUGGUUCACCCGAACUUGUCCGAACUGUAGUGAUAAACAAUUUUGUACUUGUAUAUUUGUGUAGAUUUUAUUUGUUUAAAUAUAAUAAGAGCAAAAUAUCAAAUAAUAAAUAACUAUUUUAUUUAUUUGUUUCCUUAUUUAUUUGUCUUUUUAGCUCUCAUCAAUAUGUUGUUUUCUUGUCAAAACUCUCUUAAGAGAACUAAGUUAGCACAAAUGACAAUGGGGAGUGGGGACCCCAUUAUUCCCUGACUCACUAUAUACCCAAUGUUCCCGGCUCUGAGUCCGCCUUGGUAAGGAACGGGGUGGAAACUGGGGACUAUACAUCCAAUUCCAACUCGCCUCAUUACCAUCCCUAGCUUCACCUCUAAAGGCCAUCAUUUUCCUUCUUGUUGCUGUUCCUUUUGGAAUUUCCAACUAGUGAUUUCUCCCAACUUCCAUCUGAAGCUUCUGUGCAUGGAGGCUAUAUUUCUUGAAUAAGGUAUUUUCAUUGUGGUUUCCUUCACCUGCGGGCUUCUUCACUUCAUAUUUACUACCUCUUGUGAGUAUCUAACAUGGUUGUCAUUUGACUCAUUUUACUUUAAUGUAGCAAAACUUGAAGGCUUAGGUUAAUGGAAAACUUUGGAUGAUUAGGUAGGGAGUAUCCUCCUGUAUGUCAAGGUUAGAUAUUGAUUUCUGUUGCAUCUUCUCCUUGUGAUGUGUUGACUCAUUUUACUUUAAUGUAGCAAAACUUGAAGGCUUAGGUUAAUGGAAAACUUUGGAUGA